rnacentral:rRNA from 1 species
GCUAAGAAUAUUCCGCAAUGGGCGAAAGCCUGACGGAGCGACGCCGCGUGGAGGAUGAAGGCCUUCGGGUUGUAAACUCCUUUUCCUGGGGAAGAAUAAAAUCGGUAGUAACUGACCGGUUGAUGACGGUACCCAGGGAAUAAGCCCCGGCUAAUUACGUGCCAGCAGCCGCGGUAAUACGUAUGGGGCGAGCGUUGUUCGAAUUUACUGGGCGUAAAGGGCUUGUAGGUGGUGGGAUAAGUCGGACGUGAAAUCCCCGGGCUUAACCCGGGAACUGCAUUCGAAACUAUCUCGCUAGAGUACCGGAGAGGGAAACGGAAUUCCUGGUGUAGGGGUGAAAUCUGUAGAUAUCAGGAAGAACACCGGUGGCGAAGGCGGUUUCCUGGCCGGAUACUGACACUGAGGAGCGAAAGCUAGGGGAGCAAACAGGAUUAGAUACCCGAGUAGUCC